GUGAGCUUAACUCAGUUGGUAAAGACAAUGCAUAACAUAUGCAAGGUCCAGGGUUCGAACCCCAGAUACCACA
rnacentral:tRNA from 1 species